UAAAGUGAAUUAGAAGCUACAAUGUUGGAAAGCUAUACGACCUUCGAGCUUUCUAAAAAUACAACAAACAAACGUUAAAGCCUUCAAAAGACGAAUAAAAGGCUCAAUUGCUUCUAGUUCUCGUUUUACAGCAAAAGAAUGUGAAAACUGAUUAUCGAAUGAAGGCAAUUAAAUUACACACGUUCACGGGUGAUGAAACUUCAGCAGGCUAAAAGCACUAGCCAAAAUUCCUGGCUUUUACAAGCAAAGGAAUGAUUACUGUUGAAAAAUAAACCCAAUUUUUACAAAAAAACAGCAAUCAAGGAAUUGUGAAGUAGGGAUGGUAAAUAGGGAAAGCAAGGAGAAUUGCUGAUUUUAAAGACCGGAAGAGACAAGUGGUUGCUUGUU